AACGAACGCUGGCGGCAGGCUUAACACAUGCAAGUCGAGCGCCCCGCAAGGGGAGCGGCAGACGGGGGAGUAACGCGUGGGAAUCUGCCCAUCUCUACGGAAUAACGCAUGGAAACGUGUGCUAAUACCGUAUACGUCCUUCGGGAGAAAGAUUUAUCGGAGAUGGAUGAGCCCGCGUUGGAUUAGCUAGUUGGUGGGGUAAAGGCCUACCAAGGCGACGAUCCAUAGCUGGUCUGAGAGGAUGAUCAGCCACACUGGGACUGAGACCCGGCCCAGCCUCCUACGGGAGGCAGCAGUGGGGAAUAUUGGACAAUGGGCGCAAGCCUGAUCCAGCCAUGCCGCGUGAGUGAUGAAGGCCCUAGGGUUGUAAAGCUCUUUCACCGGUGAAGAUAAUGACGGUAACCGGAGAAGAAGCCCCGGCUAACUUCGUGCCAGCAGCCGCCGUAAGAC
rnacentral:rRNA from 1 species